UCUGAGCUUCGUGUUGUGACUAGUGCCUUCUGGUUCCAGUGCGACUGCCAGUCCACACCUCCCCUUUCCUGAUCGGAACUGGUUUCUCUUUUUAAAUUUUGUUACAGUUUAGUGAGGGAAGUAAAAGAAGUACAUGUAUAUUUACGUACCUUAUAUGCAGCCUUCAUUUAGGGUCAAGGAAACCAGGUAGCUCCAAUUGCUGUUGCAGCUUAAAUGUUAUUUAUUGUACAUGUUUAUUUCCUUAAUCAAAAAGUAAGGUUACUUAUAUUAAUUUUGUGAGUAUAUCUUAACUUUAUCAUUAUCCAAUGUAGGUUUGAUAGAUGUGUCUGAGAACCUGUAUGUGACAGCAAUUUCACAUUCCAUGAUAGGGAAAAGGGCAAAGACCCAUAGAAAGCACAAAAUCCUGUCCACAUGUGUGUCUCCACAUGUAGAAAGCACAAGAGUAACGGUACUCAGUAUCCCACAAGUGCCAGCACAGAACCCGCCAGGGUUUGGGGUUCGGAUGGGACCACAGUAUUGCAAGCCCUAGACAAUGACAUGGUUCCAAAGGAUGAGCAGUUCAGUGCGAUAAGCUGAGGAAGCUGGUGUUUCUUUGGUGGAGGGAGGGGACCCAGAUGUCAAUGAUGCUACAGUUUUAUUUGAGGAGCUCCAGCUACAGUGGGGUCUGGGGGCUCUUCCCCACAAUCGGGAAGCAAAGAAACCAGGACAGAUUGGUUUUUGGUGGGUGGGACGGUUUGACAAACUUGUGCGAUAGAGCUAUUAGAGGACGGAUGGUUUGUUUGAAUCUUAAAGCUUCAGGAUAUUUAAUCUCCCGUCAAUAGCACCCUGAAAUGUGGAGAAAUUCCAUGUUUUAACAGGGGCAGCUGCUACCAGCACUAAAGCAAUUCUGAGCUCGCCCAGAUGAGCUGCUUUGCUUUUCACAGUGGCUGUAAGAAUCUGCAGGAUCCCUUUGCCUGUCCCAUUACCUGCUUCAAACCAGAUUAGAUGGAAUCUGUGACUGAGUGAGCAAAAGAAGAGAUGGUGUGUUUGGUUCUGCUUGGCAUUGGUAUCUUACCCUAACUCUCUGUUCCUGAAUAGUUCCUGUUUAUCAAGAGUGAAUGAGGGGCCCGGCUGGCAUGGCUCAGUGGUUGAGGGUCGACUUAUGAACCAGGAGGUCACAGUUCAAUUCCUGGUCAGGGCACAGGCCUGGGUUGUGAGCUCGAGCCCCAGUAUAGGGUGUGCAGGAGCAGCCGGUCCAUGAUUCUCUCAUCAUUGAUGUUUCUCUCUCUCCACCUCUGCCUUCUUAGGGCAAGACUUGGUCAACUCUGAUACCCUGGGAUGGGGAUAGAGCUGGGCACGCUAAUGGGACAGGUGCUGGAGGGGUCACCUGACUCCAGGAAGUAGCGGGGCGUCCCUCCAGCUUUGUCUAGAAGGUGAAGCCUCAGGCUUUGGGCUGAGAGAGGGGAGCACCAGGAAGGCAGGACAGAGGACAGGUCUGAGGAGCGCCCUGGCCCGGCACCCGGUGGCCAGGCCAGGCAGCUAGACGCUGGUAGUCUCUUGCAGUACGUGCUCUGCGCCAUUACAUGUUGCUUUUAAAUGCAGACGUGUGUAAGAACUUAAUGCUGUGCAAGAUUGUUUGUCAGAAUAUCUUUUGUUUAUACUUCCAUGAAGGUUGCUUUAAUUAGUCUAGGAGAAGGAGGCCUCGCCGUGUAAAUAUGUAUCAUAGAAACUCCUGACUUCACUGUGAGAUCUCUCACUUUUGAGUGGCAAACAGAUCAACAAGUCUCCUGCUCAUGGAUUUCUCUGUGGGGCUGUUACAGUACAAAAGCUUUAUUUUUUGUAAUGAGGACACGUUCCGUUAGAUGAUGGUGUGGAGUCCUUCCCUGCUGCCCCACCGGGCUGCUUCCGUGUGUGCAUUGCCAGCGGCGCUCAGACACAGGGCGGGGCUGGCCCUUCUUUGCGUGGACACCCUGUUUCCUGCUGCCCAGACGCAGGUUGGCAGUCACACGCACCGCGUUGGCUUCCCCGUGCUCUUUGUUGGUUUGAUGAGGUGGAUUCAAACACAGUUGCUGUGCAGAGGCCAGCGGCAGCAGAGCACCGCCCUCUGUCCGACGCCGUGGCUGCGUCAUGUUCCCGCGUUGUCAGAAGAUGUCCACAUUGAAGAACGCCUUCCCGGUGUCCUGCCUUCAUGCUUCCUUCGGGCUUUUGUUGAGAGACCAGCUGGGCACUGGGGGGGUCGUGUGUAUGGUGUCCAUGUACCAAUUCAUCAGUUACUCACUGUAGACCGAAUGUAAUCAUAAAUGAAGUUGCUGAAUUAUUGUGAGUUUUUUGAAUUGUAAAUAGAUUUCCAGUGUACUCUUCAUUGUCUGCAGCUUUUUUUUUUUUUUAAGGUAUAGAGCUAGUUGGGUCCAUCUCAUACAAUGUUUUCGUUACAAGCAGAAAGUAGAAUUUGAUUAAACCAGGUUAUUUACAUAUUGAAAGGAAUACAAUUGAGAUUGUAGAUUAGGAUUGUUAACCAUACGUGACAGUUCCAGCUUGACUAUUUUAACCUACUGUAUACAAUCUGAUUUUCAAAAUUGUAGACAUGUAUGAUCUUGGUUUCAUGUGUUUUUAAAAGUGUUAUUGUUUAAAAAAAGAAAAAAAAAAAAAAAGAAGCAGAUCUGCUAAAGAGCCGUCAUUUCUCACCCCUGACGGUGGAAUAACUGUUCUCUGUGUACUGUGUGUGAUUUCUGCCAGCUGCUGCAUUCGCCUUCAAACGUAUUUGGAAACUUAAGAUGAACUACAUUUCUUGCAAAGUAUAUGCCUUUCUGUGGUAUUUUUGUCCUGUAACUGAAGUAUAGUAAUUAUUUUAUGGAAAUGUUAGCACUUAUGUACCAACUUUGAAUAAAAUAAAUAAUGGACA